rnacentral:rRNA from 1 species
GCGGUAAUACGUAGGGUGCAAGCGUUAAUCGGAAUUACUGGGCGUAAAGCGUGCGCAGGCGGUUCGGAAAGAAAGAUGUGAAAUCCCAGGGCUCAACCUUGGAACUGCAUUUUUAACUACCGAACUAGAGUAUGUCAGAGGGGGGUGGAAUUCCACGUGUAGCAGUGAAAUGCGUAGAUAUGUGGAGGAACACCGAUGGCGAAGGCAGCCCCCUGGGAUAAUACUGACGCUCAUGCACGAAAGCGUGGGGAGCAAACAGGAUUA